AGAGUUUGAUCCUGGCUCAGAACGAACGCUGGCGGCAUGCCUAACACAUGCAAGUCGAACGGGAUCCUAGCUUGCUAGGUGAGAGUGGCGGACGGGUGAGUAACACGUGGGAAUCUGCCUUUGGGUUCGGGAUAACCGCGGGAAACUGCAGCUAAUACCGAAUGCCCUCGAGAGAGGAAAGAUUUAUCGCCAGAAGAGGAGCCCGCGUCCGAUUAGGUAGUUGGUGGGGUAAAGGCCUACCAAGCCGACGAUCGGUAGCUGGUCUGAGAGGGUGAUCAGCCACACUGGGACUGAGAUACGGCCCAGACUCCUACGGGAGGCAGCAGUGGGGAAUAUUGGAUAAUGGGGGCAACCCUGAUCCAGCAAUGCCGCGUGAGUGAUGAAGGCCUUAGGGUUGUAAAGCUCUUUUGCCAGGGAAGAUGAUGACUGUACCUGGAGAAUAAGCCCCGGCUAACUUCGUG
rnacentral:rRNA from 1 species